CGGCAUUGAGCUUAAGGGAAAAUGCAAAGAGAGCCGUAGCGAAAUUCCCUAUCACAGUUGCAAGGCACAUCAACUUUCUCUCCAAUCAAAGCAACCUUCGCUGUCUCUCUUUUUAUUCUCCACCGCACAACAAUACUAACUUACCCGCCUACCCACUUUAUUUUACUGCACCUGCGCACCUAAUCGCUUACCUUUCAACCGAUCUCUCUUUCCUCGUUCACUCAUUCAAUUUUAUUUACACGUGGCCUUCUCCUGAUUAUGCGUGGCCCAAAAUUGACGUGAACGGAACUAAAAAUUAAAUUAAAUUCCAUUCAAUUUGGACAAACCGAAAUAUAAAAUCGCAUCACGAGCGGCGAUUGAAAACCGGUGUGAUACGAAGUUACAACAGAAAAGAAUUGCGGUGGCCGUCGGGAUCCGGCGAGGCUCGUCGGAUUUUGCCCAUUUUAGUUCUAAGCUGUACAGUCUGCUCUCUUAUCUGAGAGAUAUUGAGAGAACUGUCUACGUCUAAAGGGAAAAAAAUGAAGGGAACAUGCACUCUCGUAGCUUCCGUGCUCGCCGCGUCCACCGUGGCUUUAUCCUCCUCCUCUGCAGCAGAUCGCGACGUCGCUUUUUAUCCUUCAUCCAAUGAGGUAUUUGUUUCCAGCCUUUAUUUGAUGCUUUAAUUUGAAAAACGAGUUGUUGAACCUAAACCCUAAUAUGGUUGUGCCUUGGCGUGGAAUAUUGGGGAAAACUCACCUUCACAUUAAUUUCAAAAAAUUUUAUUUUUUGCUGUUAAUUUCUGCUGCCUCUUCUUGCUAAUCCAUGCUUUAUUUUGUUUAUCUUCUCAGAAGUAGUGAUUUUUUAUCAUUGAUUCAUUCUAUAAAAGAGGAUUAAUCUCAACAGAUUUGAUUUUAACUUGUUUUGAUUAGGGCUCAACUUCUACAAUGGGGAAACAUGUCUCACUGAAUGCUUAUGAAACUUCAGAUAAGGGGAAAUUCGCGCCAAGAUUUGAUGGGUUGAGGUUCAUAGAGACUCUGGUCACGGCUCAUAGAUGACCUGACAAAGCUCAUAAUCUUUUUGUUUUCUUUGUUGUCAUUUGUUGAUGUUGAGGCAAAACCCCAUUGGUUUAUAAGAUGUGAUUAAAAGAGAGCUGUUGUUGCUUAUUUUUCUUUUGAGUUUAGAAGAACUUGUGUUAUUGAUUUGUGUCAUUUUCAUAGAUUUAGGUUUUUUUUUUUUUUCAAAAAUAGUUUUAGCAUUUGCUAUUGAUAUUUGGUGGUGUAACCGUAAACUCCAAAGCUUGGGCGUUACAGAAUUUUCUUAAAAUCCUCUUGGGUUUUGGAGUGGGAUCUUACUUCGUCACUUUAUUGAAUUAGCUUAAACAGUUUGCUUAAUUAUUGAAAAGAUAUGGUUUAUUUGCUGUUUCGUUUGAUUGGAAUGUAUAAUGAAUUGGGUUUGGUAUCCAACUGUAUAAUAUGAUUUGAAACUUUCAAUUUUGACAGCCCAACUAGCUUAGCUUGUUGGUUCCUAAACUUGAUGGGAAAGGUAAUCGUCUGAGUCGGACUCAGACCUAUUCAAUUCUUUUGAAUUACGUUUUGCCGUCUCUCGAGUUCUA
rnacentral:misc_RNA from 1 species